AUUGAACGCUGGCGGCAUGCCUUACACAUGCAAGUCGAACGGCACCACGGGUGCUUGCACCGGGUGGCGAGUGGCGAACGGGUGAGUAAUAUAUCAGAACGUACCUUAUUGUGGGGGAUAACGCAGCGAAAGCUGUGCUAAUACCGCAUAAUCCCUAAGGGGGAAAGCGGGGGACCGUAAGGCCUCGCGCAAUUAGAGCGGCCGAUAGCCUGAUUAGCUAGUUGGGUAGGGAAAGGCCCACCAAGGCAACGAUCAGUAGCUGGUCUGAGCGGACGGUCAGCCACACGGGGACUGAGACCCGGCCCAGACUCUACGGGAGGCAGCAGUGGGGAAUUUUGGACAAUGGGGGCAACCCUGACCCAGCAAUGCGGCGGGAGUGAAGAAGGCCUUCGGGUUGUAAAGCUCUUUUGUCAGGAAAGAAACAGCAGCUCUAACACAGUUUGCGAAUGACGGUACCUGAAGAAUAAGCACCGGCUAACUACGUGCCAGCCGCCGCUGUAA
rnacentral:rRNA from 1 species